rnacentral:rRNA from 1 species
GACAGAGGGUGCAAACGUUGUUCGGAGUUACUGGGCGUAAAGGGCGCGUAGGCGGCCACCGCAAGUCGGUUGUGAAAUCUCCGGGCUUAACCCGGAAAGGUCAACCGAUACUGCGGGGCUAGAGUGCAGAAGGGGCAACUGGAAUUCUCGGUGUAGCGGUGAAAUGCGUAGAUAUCGGGAAGAACACCCGUGGCGAAGGCGGCUCUCUGGGACGGUACUGACGCUGAGACGCGAAAGCGUGGGGAGCGAACAGG